UGGCGGCAGUUUGGCCAGUGCUUUCCUUUGCUGUUUGCUCCUGUGCUUCAACUAUCAGAGCGCCCCAGUUCUAGAGGCCUAGAGUGUGAUAUUUGACAUCUGUCAAGUUGAAGGUCCUGCACAAGAGUGGAAGUUAUUUUACCAAAAAUUAGGUGUUACAGAAAUAUUUGAUUUCCAAGUGCAUGGUCAUGUUUAUGAAGUCUUGAGAAGACCAUUUUCAUUAAUUUCUAUUCCAGAAGGCAGCAGUACAUAUUUACAUUAAAAAAAAAAAAAAAACAAACAAACCAACAGG